rnacentral:rRNA from 1 species
UACGAAGGGUGCAAGCGUUACUCGGAAUUACUGGGCGUAAAGCGUGCGUAGGUGGUGAGUUAAGUCUGUCGUGAAAGCCCCGGGCUCAACCUGGGAAUGGCGAUGGAUACUGGCUCGCUAGAGUGCGGUAGAGGAGAGUGGAAUUCCCGGUGUAGCAGUGAAAUGCGUAGAGAUCCGGAAGAACACCGGUGGCGAAGGCGGCCUGCUGGGCAGUUUAGCUGACACUGAGGCGCGGACAGCGUGGGGAGCAAACAGG